UCUGUCUGUACCGCGAGUUCACACGCACGGGCCACGUCGGACUCGUCUCCGUUUGUACGUCGCCUGUGCGCGCGCGAGAGAGCGAAGGUGGCCGCUGAUGGCAAAUUAGCAUAACCGACGCCCCCGAAAGACCAGAGUUUGUCUGUCAGGCAGAGGAGGUGAGGUGUCGUACAGUCUUACGGCACGCGGCAGGAGAGAUGUCCUGGAGCGGUCCGUACGACGGGGAAUCUGAAUCAGUCUAUUGGAGAAGGCGCUCCGCCGUCUGUCCAGCGUGAGGUGGAGAGGACGGUCCGGGCAACCCGCGACGGAUACCGGUUUGCGGUGGGUGAAAUGUCAGACCCGGAUACCCCCCAAAACUCUCUGCAUGGCCGGAUAGCAACCAGCAGGAGCGACGGCGAUACCUGGGCACAGCAGAUGAAGACGACGGACAGAGUGAGGAGGAAGGCCGAGGACACGAUGACGUCCACGGAGCGCUGGGGCCCCCGUCUCUUGAGGAAGAAGAAGAGCCCCGCGAGGCAGACGCGCACCAGGAAGCUCAGCGCGACCAUGGCGACGACCAGGGGCGCGUGCGCUCCCGAGCCGGCCCCCAGCGCCACGGCCAGCAGGUGGCGGGGCGAGAGGGCCGUGAGCCGCUCC